CUUUCUGGUCCACACCAAUGUCCCUCUGCUCCCCAGUGAACCAGGACUUAAAUAGCUAUAAUCAGGCCCUUGGUGUUUCUCCCUAAUAUUUCAGCUUCUUCUGCUCUUUGAUCCUGCAUAAAGUCUUCUCCAGAAUAUAAAGUCUGUUCUUAAGAAAAUUUCACUUGAGGAUAAAUCACUGGCAAUAAACACCUUUUCCUUUGCAGAUGGUUUAUGAUCACUGACAUUGUGCCAUCUGACUAGCAGGAGGUUCUGUGAUUUCUGUCACAUCAGGAUUUACAACUGCAACAGCACUGGCUGUUAAUCUUUGGAAAUCAGAGUGACAUGAGAAAGGGAGCGCAACAUACAGCACAUAGGAGAAGUACAAUGGAAAGCAGUAUAAUGUCAUCUUCUUUGUGGAAAACUAAGAUCCAUGUGGAAAACAGAAGUGUCUGCUAAUUAUUUUCUUCUGAAAACAAACAAGGGAAUGAAGUGUGUCCUAUAAUUGAAUUAAAAAUCCCCCAAGAAAGUUGGUUCCCUUUACGACAUGGAUAAAAGCAAAUAUAUUUGGAGGAAAAAAAUAUUAGGUCAACAAUUCCCUUGCAACUAUAUGUGCAUUUUUACUAGGGAUGACAACGUGCUUCAGAUAAGAAGCAGCCUAACCUGAAAGUGGAUAGAGAGAAGAAAAAACAGGAAGCAAGGCUCUUUGGGGAAGGGACUGUGUCUUUUUUCCUCUGUUUGUGUUGUGCCUGCACAAUGGGGCCCUGGCUUCUAGGCACUACCGUAAUUCACACAACAAUCAUCAGAGACGAAAGUAACAAUGGGUGGACAGGAUGACAGAAGAAAUGAGAAUGAAGAUCGUGCUGCUUAAAGGAGAUGACAAUUAGUAGACAGAAUAAUAUAAAGAAAAAACAGUACCUAGAAUUGAGGGGGGAAAGAAUGGGUAUGGAGAGAAAAAGCCAGAGAAGAAAGGAGAGACAGUGAUGAUAAAGAAAUGGUACAAAGAUCACACUGGACUUUUAGCUUAAUGAGUUAUUAUAUCUUCUCUAGCAGAUAUCAUUUUGUACAUUUGAGGGGAAAGGAUUUGAGCAUUUGACAUAUGUUAUAUUAUUAAUAAUGAUAGGGCACCUUAUGUGGAUUCUAUAGUUAAAUAACCUGAGGGGAAAGAGAAAAUCCAUCUAAAUUUCAUUAGCUUGCAUGUGGAGUCCUCUGAGGGGUUCCUAAACUAAGGCUGAAGCUAGGAGUGGUGGCAACACAGAGAUCCUACUCCCUAUUUAUUUAGAUGAGUCUGUUACGUUUUGGGUGGUAAGUGGCUCAAAUAAUUUUUCUGGCACUUCUGGAAGUGGUAGUGCCAGGCUUUGCAUUGCUGAUCAGUCAGUUAGUGACACUCUUCCCACAUAAUUAAUAAACUCAGAAGCCACCAGUGUAUUAGGGGGCACUGUGCUGUUGGAGGUGCUGUGUUUGGACAAGAUAGAGGGCCCGGCAGCUUGUAGUCAUUAAAAAUCCCAUGACUCUUUCCCUAAGAGUAGGGGUGUUGGCGGAAGUGCCUUGGACAAAUCCCAGCAAAAGUUCUAUAGUUACAUUCUGCCAUGCCUACUUUAAUUUUCCUGGCAGCUUUAAUUGGAACUUAUGUUUUUCUUUACCACCCAUUCUAAAUUGCUGAGGAGAAUUGCUCUGCUUUGUUAGACAGCUGCUGUGUUAUGACCCAGAGGUAGGUGAUGAAGGGAUCCCUAUGUAACCCUUACUUGCCAUUUCACAAGGAGAUUGCACGAUGUCGUAAAGCACUUGGGGGUCCUUAAAUGAAAGUCACAAUAAGAGCACAAAAUAUCAUCCUCAUUAGCUAUAAGGGCCACUUCAGAGCAAUGGAAAGUAUUCUUUUGCCUGCCCAUCUGGGGUUUUGCACACUGCCUCAGCAGUGCUCCCAUCCCCUGCCUGCUCAGAGAGCAAGAGAUCAAACCUGUGCCUCUGGCAUGAUAUUGCAGAGCUCUAAUUACAGAAGUACCAUCAAACAUCUGUUGUAAUGGGUAACUAUGAUUCUUUGGCAUGCACAGACACAAUACCUAGAUGUUCAAAGCAUAUCUCUGUACGUAAUUUCUAUGAGCUGGAUUGUAAGUGACCCUUGUGCAAGUAGUGCAUGGGGAAGGAGGAAAGAGCAUAAGAAGCCUCCUCCCCUUACAUAGACCAGGCACUUCUCUGUCAGUUUCAGUUUCUGCAU